UCCAGACUCCUACGGGAGGCAGCAGUGGGGAAUAUUGCACAAUGGGCGAAAGCCUGAUGCAGCAACGCCGCGUGAAGGAAGAAGGGUUUCGGCUCGUAAACUUCUAUCAACAGGGACGAAAGAAAUGACGGUACCUGAAUAAGAAGCCCCGGCUAACUACGUGCCAGCAGCCGCGGUAAUACGGAGGAUGCGAGCGUUAUCCGGAUUUAUUGGGUUUAAAGGGUGCGCAGGCGGAUUUUUAAGUCAGCGGUCAGAUCGUGGGGCUCAACCCCAUCCAGCCGUUGAAACUGGGGAUCUAGAGUGUGCGAGAGGUAUGCGGAAUGCGUGGUGUAGCGGUGAAAUGCAUAGAUAUCACGCAGAACCCCGAUUGCGAAGGCAGCAUACCGGGGCACAACUGACGCUCAGGCACGAAAGCGUGGGUAUCGAACAGGAUUAGAUACCCCAGUAC
rnacentral:rRNA from 1 species